CUGCUGCCUCUGACACCCACCAGGGGUGACCUGUGUAAACAACCUCAGAUGCUGGUCUGGAAAAUGAGGAGAAAUCAGAUGGCAGAAAUAAGAAGAAAAUUCAUGAAAAAUGUAGGAGAAAGCCCCAUUGUCAAUAAAAGGAGAAGGAAAUAAAAUAUCAUGAAGAUGAUAAUCAACAAAAUAUCAACAUGGUGAGCCUCAGGAAGUUAUGACCUGACACAAGAAAGCAGCAAACCCAAAAGCUAAAAGAUGAAGAAAAAGAUUAAACAUUGACUGAGUUCUUGUAUUUAAAUUCUUGCAAGAAGAUAAUAUUCAGAAAUUAUUACUUCAAAUGUUCUGAAUAGUUUAGAAGACAUCAGCACUAUUUAAGCAAAAUAUAAAAGUCAAUAAUUGUCUUAUACUGGGGAAAAUUUUUUUUUUUAAUUUGGUUUCUUAGAAAUGUAAGACAUUGUGCAUGUAGUUAUUUAGAUGAAACCUAAUAGGAUAUGAGUAUAAUAACUGAACAUUUGAAA